rnacentral:rRNA from 1 species
CCCUUAGAUGUUCUGGGCCGCACGCGCGCUACACUGAUGCAUUCAACGAGUCUAAAACCUGCUCUGAUAGGGGUGGGUAAUCUUUUGAAUGUGCAUCGUGAUUGGGAUAGAUGAUUGCAAUUUUUCAUCUUCAACGAGGAAUGCCUAGUAAACGCAAGUCAUCAGCUCGCAUUGAUUACGUCCCUGCCCUUUGUACACACCGCCCGACGCUCCUACCGAUUGAAUGAUCCGAUGAAUAUCAUGGAUUGAGGAUGCAAGUAGGUUAGCCUAUCUUCAUCUUCGAGAAGUGAAGUAAAUCUUAUCAUUUAGAGGAAGGAGAAGUCGUAACA